CCGAGUAAUAUAUUGUGCGACCCGCUAAUGCUUUGUAUUAUUAUUGUUCAUGUUGCACAAUGUACACGCCUUGCGUCAAUUUGACAGUUGACAGUUUAUUUAUCGCAGUCGACGCUGAUUGGUUAGCGUUUAGCAGAUGCGAAAAGGGGAUGAAUGAAUAAAACGCAUGGUUCCGUGCAGGCUCACCUUUCUCCCAGUGAGCCUGUUCGCAGGCUAGGUAUAAGGAAGAUCGAGUAUUUCCUUCACAUAUGCUUUGACGACCUCACUAUCUUUGCCAAAUCUGUCUUUCAAAAUGGCUAAGGCCCUAUUAUACCCUUCGGCAGUAUAUGGCAAAGCUUCAAUUGCUUUCUUCGCUUUCUCGCAUAAUAAUUCUCUAAGAUAAGAAAAUUUAGUAACAGGAAGCGUACUUGAU